UUCGGUAUCGCUCCUAACCAGUUCCUGCAAGUGACAGCUGUCGUCAUUAAUGAAGGCAUGUGGUGUACAGGGUCCCACUUGGACAGAGCUGGAGAACGUUAACAAAGAUGGAGAUUUUUUCUUAAUGUGUCCAGAGAAAUUUAAAGUGACGGCAGUCUGCCUGAUGUGUAAUCAGUUUGUGAACACAGUUAGCGUCCUACCACCUUUUAGUGCUUCACUUCUUGAUGUUGGUGCAUUAUAAAUUGCAUCCGAGGGUGUGAUCAGGAAUAAAUGCCCCUUCCAGCGUCCAGUGGAGCUUCUCCACCUCGGAGGUCUCUAGAUCAGUUGAAGUUUUGACCCGGAGGAGGUUGUCUGUUAUAUUGUGAACUGCUGUAUGAAGAUUUGUUACAGAAGCACGGAACGCAGAGCAAGUUGGUUCAGUUUUGUUAUUGUUUGUAUAACAAUACAAUAAUACUCUAAUUGUAUAGAGUAGUGUUCUGUAUACUGAAUGAUUUUGCAGAAGAGAUACUGUAAAAUGUAGACAUUUGCUUUCAUCAUCUAAACACAUGUAGCCCAUUAAUGAAGCCCCUGCAAAGUGAAAUUAA